rnacentral:rRNA from 1 species
AUACGGAGGGUGCAAGCGUUACUCGGAAUCACUGGGCGUAAAGCGCGCGCAGGCGGCUAUUUAAGUUGGAUGUGAAAGCCUACGGCUCAACCGUAGAACUGCAUCCAAAACUAUUUAGCUAGGGUGUGGGAGAGGAAGAUGGAAUUAGUUGUGUAGGGGUAAAAUCCGUAGAGAUAACUAGGAAUACCAAAAGCGAAGGCAAUCUUCUGGAACACUACUGACGCUGAGGCGCGAAAGCGUGGGGAGCAAACAGGAGUAGAUACCCCAGUAGUCC